CUGUAUCGAUCUGUGUUCGUUUAAUAAUAAAUCUGAAUUAAUUUCUGUAAUAUCGUUUAUAUCCUACACAAGAAAAUAUAGAUUCUAUCUGUUAAUCAGCAUCGGUGACAAGAAAUAAUUGACAACCAAUAACCAUAGCAGGAGCAAUUGUUACUUCACCAAAAUCCAUAACGUAAGUAAUGCAGCUGUUGUAAUAUUAGUCUAAAGUUACAUUUUAUCAAAAGUUCUUACUCGUUCGUGCAUGUACGUAUAUUCUAAAAAAAUUAAAGUUGUAAUAUAUAUCUAUUUUCAUUAAAGUAACAAGCUACGAACUUCAUUCGUGAUUAUUUACCAUGUCUAAUCUCAACUAUUGUGUCUUCAGAACACAUUUAUUGUGGCUCAUCUUGCAUCAUGGCAUAUAAAGCGGCACAGAAGGAGAUGGAAUUGAACACGAACUCAUUACGCUUAAAUCCUUACGUUUCAUGUAUCGAACUAAACGCGUUUUUAUUUGCGCAAUAGGAAGGUACAUCCGGAUUCCAAGGAACUAAGAAAUUAUUACUUUUUUUGAACGUAAUUACUUAAUCACAGUGUUAUUGCUGCUUGCGACCUAAAUCGCUCCAGCUUUGUUGGCGAUGCACGUAUGUGCUGACAAAGAACUAAUUGGUUCAAAGAACCAUCCUCGUUCGAGGGAAAGAAAACACUGUAUGCGGUUGACUAUUUAAUAGAACUAUUUACAGAAUACUGGGAGCUGUCCAGCAAUCGUGCCUAAUAUUGCACAUAACUAUUCUGUAUAAUCUAUCUUAUCUUUUCUAUCUAUAUAGAAUAUCUAACAAAGUUCAACCGUCCGAGUCGUUCUGACUGCUUCGAAUGUUCUAUAGGUUUUAAUGAUAAAAAGGCGGAAAAAUGACCUUUGGCUUCUACUUCACAACUAAUUUCAGAGCGGAAACAACCCUUGGUCAUGAGAGCUGAGUUGCUGCAGACGCACGCGAACCGCGGGUACUCGGAGACUCGAUAACUAAAGGUCGAGAGUCUAUAUUAUAUAUAUAUUAAUAAAGAAAUCUUGACGAUAAUCUUGCUGACUUCUACCUACAGUUUAUGCUUGCCAUAACUCACAGUUUCACCGUUGUAAGAUUUUGCAAGAUAAAAUAUGCAUAUAUAUAUUCCAUAUGCAAGAGUAAAUCAAUAAAUUAUACUACGCAUAAUAUGUGGAAAUAACACAUGGCAUAGAGACUUCUUGAAACGUAUUUCUUUCGCUGCUAAAUGACUCGACGGUAACAAUUAUUAGCUUCAUUAUGCACGACCGCAUAACACGCUAUUACACUACACUGAAAGGAAGUAUUUACGCUCAAUAUUUAUGUAGCAAGAACCUUGAAAAUGUAUACACGAAGCCACCUAUUCGAGGUCUCAUGCAACAAGAGACUCACAACAAAAAAGGCGAUAAAUAGAACAAAAAACCAAGUGUCAAUAUGAAUCCCUAGAACGUGUGUCGACCCGUGCUUCUUCGACGAUCGGACUAAAUGAGUUUCUAUGAUAUGAUUGUGAAAAUUGUUUGUUUUGUAAUUAUGAUUGCCACCAAUACGAAAAUAUUUGAAGCGUUCAUCUGUGUGAUCCUUAUUACCUAUGAAACAGGUAGCUAAUAACCGACAGCCAUAUCACAAGACUGGAAGAACUGAGGAAAGGACAAGCCGGGCGCAUAGUGGUAGGAAAAAGAAAGGCAUGGUCACUGACAUAUGCAGACGAUAUUGUGCUGAUGACGGAUAGAGAAGAGGAGCUAAAGGAAAUGCUAAAGAGAUUCAAAAAAAUUUUUAAAGGAAACCGAAUUGGAACUGAGCACGGAAAAGACUAAGGUAGUAGUUUUCGAAAAAAGAA